AUCUAAGAGUCUCCACGAUCGGAGCAGUGUCGCUGAGGAGAGAUCCGUGAAUAGCUUCACCGUCGGGUAUUCUUCAGGUGGUUUCACCUUGUUCCUGCUUGCUCUGAGGAUGUGCUCCUUAAUAUGGUAGUAGUGAGCACGCAGAAGGACAUCCCUGGGGGCCGUGUCAGGUAGGUGUCUGGGCCGUGGGACUCUGUGCAUGUCAGUAGGGAUUUCGGGUGCAAAUGCAUGGAGGAGGCCCCUCAUGCAAGCUGGUAGUUCUGUCGGCAAGACACUUUCAGGCACUCCUCAUUUGAUGUUAUUGUGUCUCGCACAGUCUUCCAGGUCGGCUAGCUUUGUUUCAGUAUGCUCCCGUCUGGCCUCCAGGUCUUCCACGUGGCUUGCUAGAUCAUUAUGAGCAGAGGUAAAUUCCUUAAUUUAGUUUUCAG